CGGCGCGCAGUUUACCUGGUGGCGCGGGCGGCCCACGAUGGAAGGGAAGACGGCGCGGGGCGCGUCAUCGCCCGCGAAGCCGGCCUUCACCAGCCCGGAGCCGUUGUCGCACACCAGGGCGGUGGUCUCCUCGUCAGACCUGGUGACUGUGGCAUC